GGGGAGGGACGGAGGGAGCGAUCGGAGCGCCACUGGGCCAAAGGCGCCCGGUGAGAGCGACUGGGUUUGGGGACCGAGGCCCAAGGAGCCAGGUCCAGGGCCGGGGGAUGAGAAUCUGGACCGGGGACUAAGACAGGGAACCACGUCCAGGCCAAGGGCUCAGGACCAGGCCCGGAGAUUAGAGCCCCAGGCCCAAAGCCUGGGAUUCGGGACUGCGGCUCAGGGGAAUAGACCCAGAAACCGUAUCUAGGGCCCAGGAACCGACUCCGGGAACGGGGUGGGGGCAGCCAGGCUGGGGAAUGAGGAGCAGCUCUGUAAACUAUGCCCAGAGCACAGGGUUGGGGAGCCAGGCACAUGGGCCGGACUGAGGCCCAAGAACUUGGCCCACUUUUUGUCCCUGACCCAGAGACUGAGGCCCAGGGUCCAUACCCUGGCAUGGCAAAACCCUGUGAGAGAGCUGAAACGUGAAAUCAUCUAUAAAUAGAGAAAUAAUUAGCAACAGAUUGGCGAUGGAGGAGAAUCACAGUCCCUAACUUGCUGUUUCUGAUUUUGCUUGGCAGGACUUUAUUAGUCUAUUUUGAUGACGUUUCAGGUGCUGGAAUGAGGCUUUGAGCCUUGAAACUUGGGUUUGGGUCUGAAAAGGAUGUUUCCAGUCUGAAAUGAGGCUCUGGGCCUCCAGCCAAGGCUCUGAGCCCUGAAAGGAAAAAACAAAAAAGAGCUACAGAAAAAAAUUGCACUUGAGGUGAGGCUCAAUGCUUCUGUGUUGUGGAAAGGAGUCUUUAUUUUGAAGCCUCAGACCCCAAUGUGCGGGGUCCAAAGCCUCAUGUUGGCUUUCAAAGCCUCCUCCUGCAGCCCAAACUUCUGAUUUAAAGAUGCCAAACAUUUUAUCCUCAAGCGAGGAUAAAAAAAAAGGUCCAGAGUUUCUUGUCACAGGCUUCAUGGCCCUUUUGGUUUUGUUCCCAGACCUUUAUUUAUUAGACUCUAGCUUCAAUUAAGGGGUUUGUUCAGUCUCCCAUUUUGGGGGUUCUAAACUCUAUUUCACCAUGAGUGCUCAUUUUACCACACUUUAGCAAUGUCAUAGCUGCAGAUAGACACGUGCCUCAGAGAUGGCAGUUCGUUGUGCAGAGAGGAGCCACUGUUCAGAUGAUGACACUGUCUGCCCAGUUUUACGACUGCCCUGCAAGGCAGCUACAUUAUCAAGCUGUGAAUGAUGCAUGUUGACUAGAAAUCAUUCAAAUGCUCAGCAUAAAAUCUGUUAAUUUCUUUUUGUA